rnacentral:misc_RNA from 1 species
GAUGAAGAACGUAGCGAAAUGCGAUAAGUAAUGUGAAUUGCAGAAUUCAGUGAAUCAUCGAAUCUUUGAACGCACAUUGCGCCCGCCAGUAUUCUGGCGGGCAUGCCCGUUCGAGCGUCAUUACAACCCUCAGGCCCCCGGGCCUGGCGUUGGGGAUCGGCGGAGCCCCCCGUGGGCACACGCCGUCCCCCAAAUACAGUGGCGGUCCCGCCGCAGCUUCCAUCGCGUAGUAGCUAACACCUCGCGACUGGAGAGCGGCGCGGCCACGCCGUAAAACACCCAACUCUUCUGAAGUUGACCUCGAAUCAGGUAGGAAUACCCGCUGAACUUAAGCAUAUCAAUAAGCGGAGGA